CUUACACAUGCAAGUCGGACGGGAUGUGGUGUUUCCAGUGGCGGACGGGUGAGUAACACGUAAGAACCUGCCCUUGGGAGGGGAACAACAACUGGAAAUGACUGCUAAUACCCCGUAGGCUGAGGAGCAAAAGGAGGAAUCCGCCCGAGGAGGGCUCGCGUCUGAUUAGCUAGUUGGUGGGGCAAUAGCUUACCAAGGCGAUGAUCAGUAGCUGGUCCGAGAGGAUGAUCAACCACACCGAUAUCACAUGAGUUUGAGUAAAAUUACACAAUGU